UGCAAGUCGAACGGCAGCACGGGUGCUUGCACCUGGUGGCGAGUGGCGAACGGGUGAGUAAUGCGUCGGAACGUACCGAGUAAUGGGGGAUAACGCAGCGAAAGUUGUGCUAAUACCGCAUACGCCCUGAGGGGGAAAGUGGGGGACCGCAAGGCCUCACGUUAUUCGAGCGGCCGACGUCUGAUUAGCUAGUUGGUGGGGUAAAGGCCUACCAAGGCGACGAUCAGUAGCGGGUCUGAGAGGAUGAUCCGCCACACUGGGACUGAGACACGGCCCAGACUCCUACGGGAGGCAGCAGUGGGGAAUUUUGGACAAUGGGGGCAACCCUGAUCCAGCCAUUCCGCGUGAGUGAAGAAGGCCUUCGGGUUGUAAAGCUCUUUCGGCAGGAACGAAACGGUUGCGGUUAAUACCCGCGGCUACUGACGGUACCUGCAGAAGAAGCACCGGCUAACUACGUGCCAGCAGCCGCGGUAAUACGUAGGGUGCGAGCGUUAAUCGGAAUUACUGGGCGUAAAGCGUGCGCAGGCGGAUUGUUAAGCAAGACGUGAAAUCCCCGGGCUUAACCUGGGAAUGGCGUUUUGAACUGGCAGUCUAGAGUGCGUCAGAGGGGGGUG
rnacentral:rRNA from 1 species